AACGAACGCUGGCGGCAUGCCUAACACAUGCAAGUCGAACGAGACCUUCGGGUCUAGUGGCGCACGGGUGCGUAACGCGUGGGAAUCUGCCCUUGGGUUCGGAAUAACAGUUGGAAACGACUGCUAAUACCGGAUGAUGACGUAAGUCCAAAGAUUUAUCGCCCAAGGAUGAGCCCGCGUAGGAUUAGCUAGUUGGUGAGGUAAAGGCUCACCAAGGCGACGAUCCUUAGCUGGUCUGAGAGGAUGAUCAGCCACACUGGGACUGAGACACGGCCCAGACUCCUACGGGAGGCAGCAGUGGGGAAUAUUGGACAAUGGGCGAAAGCCUGAUCCAGCAAUGCCACGUGAGUGAUGAAGGCCUUAGGGUUGUAAAGCUCUUUUACCCGGGAUGAUAAUGACAGUACCGGGAGAAUAAGCGCCGGCUAACUCCGUG
rnacentral:rRNA from 1 species